CGAACGCUGGCGGCAUGCCUAACACAUGCACGUCGAACGAGACCUUCGGGUCUAGUGGCGCACGGGUGCGUAACGCGUGGGAACCUGCCCUUAGGUUCGGAAUAACUCCCCGAAAGGGGUGCUAAUACCGGAUAAUGUCUUCGGACCAAAGAUUUAUCGCCUUUGGAUGGGCCCGCGUUGGAUUAGCUAGUUGGUAGGGUAAAAGCCUACCAAGGCGACGAUCCAUAGCUGGUCUGAGAGGAUGAUCAGCCACACUGGGACUGAGACACGGCCCAGACUCCUACGGGAGGCAGCAGUGGGGAAUAUUGGACAAUGGGCGAAAGUCUGAUCCAGCAAUGCCGCGUGAGUGAUGAAGGCCUUAGGGUUGUAAAGCUCUUUUACCCGGGAGGAUAAUGACAGUACCGGGAGAAUAAGCUCCGGCUAACUACGUG
rnacentral:rRNA from 1 species